UGUAGGAUACCAAACUUCUGAAAAUAGGAAGUUACGGUAGGAUAGUAUGUCGGAGUUUAUUAUAAAAAUAAAUAUAAAUAAAAAUAGUGUGAGAUACUAUUUUAUUGGACUCAUAGAAGUAAAGUAUAAGUUGGGAAUGACUGUGCUGAAAUCGGAGCGAAAACCGAAGAUUUAGAAUUUUCUGUGAGGAAUGGGGCAGAUAAAUUAGCAGAAAAUGCACAGUGUCAGAAAAUUAUGAAAACUGGAGGAUAUGUCAGAAUUAUUUUUAUGAGGCUAGAUUUAAAGUUUCAGCCCAUUCUGACACCCGGAAGGUGGAGAAUAAAAUCGAACN
rnacentral:lncRNA from 1 species